GCAGUGUUCCAGGGACAUGUGAUUCCCCUUUGUGACCUUAUGACAAGCAAAGUCAAUGGGGAAGCCAGAUUCACUUAACAGCCAUGUCAUUAACUUAACAACUUGAAGUGAUUCACUUAACAAGUGUGGCAAGAAAGGUUUCACAAUGGGGCAAAAUUCACU